rnacentral:rRNA from 1 species
UUUAAAGUCUAACCUGCCCAAUGAGGAGUUAAAUGGCCGCGGUAUUUUGACCGUGCAAAGGUAGCAUAAUCAUUAGUUUUUUAAUUGAAAGCUGGUAUGAACGGUUGGACGAGAAAGUUACUGUCUCAAUUUAAAUGAAAUUAGAAUUUUAUUUAUAAGUAAAAAAGCUUAUAUGAUUUUAAAAGACGAGAAGACCCUAUAGAAUUUUAUAGUAAUAUAAAUUUAUUUUUAUUAGAAUUUUAAGAAUUAGAUUUGUAGAGCUAUUUUGUUGGGGCGACAGAAAAAUUGAGUUAACUUUUUUUUAAUUAUUUCAUUAAUUUAUGUGUGUAUGAUCCGUUUAUUACGAUUAUAAGAUUAAAUUACCUUAGGGAUAACAGCGUAAUUUUUUUUUAGAGUUCUAAUCGAAAAAAGAGUUUGCGACCUCGAUGUUGGAUUAAAAUUAACUUUUGGUGUAGGGGCUAGAAGGUUAGGUCUGUUCGACCUUUAAAAUUUUACAUGAUCUGAGUUUAAACCGGCGUGAGCCAGGUUGGUUUCUAUCUUUAAAAUAGUUGAAUACUUUAGUACGAAAGGAUUAAGUAUUUGUAAAAUUUAUUAUAUUUUGAAUAUGAUUAA